rnacentral:rRNA from 1 species
GAUGAACGCUGGCGGCGUGCCUAAUACAUGCAAGUCGAGCGAACGGACGAGAAGCUUGCUUCUCUGAUGUUAGCGGCGGACGGGUGAGUAACACGUGGAUAACCUACCUAUAAGACUGGGAUAACUUCGGGAAACCGUAGCUAAUACCGGAUAAUAUUGUGAACCGCAUGGUUCAAAAGUGAAAGACGGUCUUGCUGUCACUUAUAGAUGGAUCCGCGCUGCAUUAGCUAGUUGGUAAGGUAACGGCUUACCAAGGCAACGAUGCAUAGCCGACCUGAGAGGGUGAUCGGCCACACUGGAACUGAGACACGGUCCAGACUCCUACGGGAGGCAGCAGUAGGGAAUCUUCCGCAAUGGGCUAAAGCCUGACGGAGCAACGCCGCGUGAGUGAUGAAGGUCUUCGGAUCGUAAAACUCUGUUAUUAGGGAAGAACAUAUGUGUAAGUAACUGUGCACAUCUUGACGGUACCUAAUCAGAAAGCCACGGCUAACUACGUG